UGAUUAACUGUUUUUCAUCCCACUAGUCAGGAUUAUAGAAACAUGACUACGCAUCACUCGAGACAAAGGUGCACACUAUCUUACUUUGAUUCCACAUGUGAUUCUAAUAUAGGAUUCUGGAGUAUUGCCCAACAGAUUUUUAGUUCACUGGUCCCUUCAAUUGGCACCUAUAUCAGGGGCCCAAACGCCCCUCACUAUAGAAUGAUCUUGGGAUACUCUGAUAGUUUUAAGGGAACUGACAGUUGAGCCUAUAGUUGUAAAUAUUUUGUUUCGUAGAGAGAGCUGACCUUAGUAGCUUGUUUUGCUCUGCGAACAGGUUUCCACUUGGGCUCUGUAUAUCGCACUGGCCAUGCGGAUGCAGUGUACAAAUGGAAAAACCCUGCAGACCCUGAGAAGGAUAAAAGCAGGAGAGUCUGUGGUGGGUGAGAGAGGAGAAGUGCACCUUGAAGCAGGGGACGCCCUGCUGGCACUGCCUAUUGCAUCCACCACUGGCGUGUUUCUUCUCUCUCCUUUCUGGUGGUUUGUCACCUUUCAAGGGUCAAUAAGUAAUAAUAGAUUACCUUAGGGAGUUUCUGAUUCCUGCUGUGUAUGUUGAUUGGAACUCAUUCUUUUUAAUGGGUUUGACAGUAUUUCUUGUCAUUAUGCUGUUUGCCUUGUAUCUUUUCUUAUGUUUAGUGUGUUGUCAAUCCAGGCUCUGAUUGAAUUAUGAUGGUUAUAUUAUUAAUAUGAUUAGUGCUAUUAUUUUAUAGAAUGGUUAAAUAUUGAUAAGGAACUUAAAACUGCUUUUCACAAAGAGCGUCGGUCUCUCUAAAUCCUUGACAGCACCUGUUCCAACAAAGUACAGCUAUGGAGUGUGACUGUUAAGAUUUUUGCCUCAUUCCUAGCCCCAGGAGUUGCUGCCGCCCAAGCCUUGAAACAGAUCGAAUGUCUAGCGUGCUGGACUGUUAAACAGAGCAAUCAUACUUCAGAGAUCUUUGAAGAAAUGUUAGAAGAUAAGAACAGCCUUUGCCAUGCAGUGCUGCAGAAUCGAGCCGCUAUAGACUUUCUUUUACUAGCUCAAGGGCAUGGCUGUAAGGAAUUUGAUGGAAUGUGCUGUUUUAAUCUUUCUGAUCAUAGCGAAUCAAUUCAAAAGCAAAUUCAUUGGUUGCCUAAUCACACUCGAUCCAUUACUAAGGAUCAUAAUCCUAUUGAUGAUUGGCUGCGAUCUGUGUUUCCAGGUCUUACUCCUUGGAUAUAUGAUACUGUUAAAGAAGGUUUCAAAUGGAUCUUAAUCAUUAUCCUACUAGUAAUAGUAGCUAGAAUUUUGUAUAGUUGUCUGCUGCGUGCUACCGCGCCAUAAGCUGCACUUGUUGUGACUGACAACAAGGAUUCGGACAUCAUUCUUGAUUGGCUACAAGAUCAAGGGGGGCACAGUCCAAGGGAUUGUUUUGCCUUACAGCCCUAAAAGAAAAAGGGGGGAAUUGUUGGGGCGCAGUGUGCUCGAGAGCAUGUAGCUAAUGAUUCACUAAUGACCUACGAUGUAAUCUUAGAUGAAAGAAAUAGAUUGAUAAAUACAGGUGCAGUGGUGUGAAUAGUACGUUGCAGUUUAGCAAGGUGUUCUGUAUAUGAAAAUUGCUUGGGAAACACCAUUGUUCUCUGAUACGCUUGGUUGCAUGAAACCUGGAUCCUGUAAACAAGUAUACUAUAUAAGGGUUUGUUGCUACAAUAAAGUUGAAGCUGUGUGCACUCACAUUGAGUGGUCGUGCUUCCCCACGCAAGGAGGGCAACCCUUUGGGAAAACUUGGGGCGUUUCCCAACAGAUUCUUAGUAGUUUUUACACAGUGGCUAAAGUAUUUGGAUAACCAGUAAAUACCAUCUCUGCUUUCAUGUAAGAUCUGCUGAUGACCAACUCCCGGAACUGUGAAACUAGUGUAAAGCUGCUGGCUUCUCUGGUGAUGUUUGUCUUACAUGCUUGGGAGAAGAGACAGUAAAGCUUCUGUGUGGCAGAAGAGAGUACAAUGUGGUUCUUACUGGAUUUUUGGACUUGAUCCUUGCAUAUGGGAUAGAGCAACAGCCUUCAUUUAUGUCAAGAUAUAGUGCUCUGCUGUUUCAUCUCCUUAGAUAUCAGGGGUUUCUGCAUGAAGAGGAUGGCAGUUGCAUACAGACCUCCUUCAAAGCUCUAGAUCACGGACAGUCUCCCCUCCUCCCAUCCUCAGUUUUUUAUCUGCUUACAAAAAACAACAACAACAACAAAAAACUUUGAAGGAGUUUUACAAUCAAGGAUCUCAAAAUAAUUAACAAGAGGUCCACCUAAAAUCCUACCUUGGACAAGAAAGAGAUGCCACAUAAAGAUGUGUACAGGAGUCCAGCUGAGCAACUUCAUUCCACCAUGUUAAGCCCAGGCCUGAUGCCUGAUGCUGCAGAAUGCUGAAAUGCUGGACGUUUUCUGUCUCAGGAAAGCCAUAAAAAAGCAGUGAAGAGCAACAGAAACUCUACCACGACAAAUAUAGCAUCAACCACUCCAUCAAGCAGGAGGCUUGAAGAGCAGAUUGGUCAACUCCAUCAUCACAAAGCAUAAUCAAAAGAGAUAUAGAGCUCUACAGCUGAAGGAACUGCAGGAAAGACAUGAAAUUCAGACUCACAGAGAAGCACUGACUCCCCAGGGAGGUGACUCCUGUAGUAGUAACAAGUCUCAGCCUACAGUCGUCAUCUGUUUCUCCUGAUUGCAGGAAAAGGUGGUCAUGAUCAUAGUAGUGAAUUAUAUUUAUAUUGCUUCCUGGCUUUCCCAUGCAUGCUGUGUUUCUAAAAGAUGGAGAGCCUGGAAGGGCUGUUUUAGACAGAGGAACACAUUUCUUCUCCCAUGGCAGCAAACAAACAUCCAGAGAGAAUGGAACAUUCGAAGGAUGGUGCAGAGUUAUAAAGGAGAUGCACUCUUUUUACUAAUGGACUGGAGAAACUUUGUGGUUCUUGGUGCCAUUCAGAAAGCUAUUAAGUAGACUGAAAUUAUUCCUGGAAGCAAAGAUAUUCAGUCAUUAUUCUGUCAUUGACAGAGUGAACUCAAUGAGCUGAUUAUAAAGCAUAUAUAUUUAUAUCCAUUCUAUGUGACAUAAUCAUUUUGGACUUUCAUUGCUUAAAAUGUGAAAUGUUCCAUUUAUAUUUCAGUCAGUUCUGUCUGUCUCUCUCUCUUUUUUUGUUUUUCCUAAGUUUAAGGGCCUCUCAUUCUUUUAGAAUGUGUGGGUUUUUUUUUGUUUGUUUGUUUUUGUUUUUGAAUGAAAAGUCCCAGAAAUGUCCACCUCAAAGCUUUGACUUACUAAAGAUCCUGCCAAAGCUAGCAAGUCAAAAAAGAAACCAUGACCUCCAUGAAAGAUUACUGGGAAUUCACCUGGAUGUUUUUUUCCUUUCAGCUUUGAAAUGGCAGUGGUACAGGAGAAGCUUCUGCCCCUGGGUCAGAACCAAAUGGUAGUUUCUAAACACUUCUUGACACAUCCUUCACAAAGAAAUCUCCGUAGCACAAAGAACCUUCAAAAAAGGCAUCCCAUUUUUCACCAUUUCUUUUUUCCUGCCUUUCCUAUUUUGGAACAAUGUCCCUUGUUUACUUCUAAUGUUGCUCACUAGUCUUACGCUUCAGAAGUGUAUUCACAAAUGGCCCUUUUUUUAGAUAAAUGAACGGCUACCCAGUGAGCAUCUUAUGUUUCUGGUGAGCCUAGUUGAGCAGCGAACUAUUUCUUCUUAUGUAUCUGCAUCUUAUACUUUGGGAAGAACUAGAUCUUAGGGCUGUUUGAAAUUAGUUAUGCAUAUUGACAGUCUCUUUCAGAACAUGAAGUUCAAGUGAGGUUCCUCACUUUCAUUAAUAUUUACUUCCUCCUGACACCUUUUGCUUUGUCUCGAUUUUUGAGUUUUGAGAGUGGUAGAUUUUAAGAAAGAUGUGUAUGUUGAAGAAUGCAUAAGGAUAACACACAUUCCAAGAGAAAUUUCAGAAGGGUCCUAGACCAAGAUAUUCUGCCAGUAGAGUUUGAGAUCUUUACAAGCCUGCUGUUUUUGAGGCAGUGAACCUAGCUGAAGGUCUCAUUUUCAGAAAUCUGUAAGCUCUUGUCAGAAAUCAGGAGUGAAUGCAAAGAAAUAUGAUUUCUGUCUCUUGUGAAGUCUUCUGCCGAAUCCAAGUAAUUUUUAAUAAUGGUUGCAAAAAAAAAAAAAAGAAAAAAAAAAAGAAAAAAGAGGAAUUUGGGAGAUUAUCCAUUGGAUGAUUUGUUUUGGCUAAGGCGUGAACUAAAGCUGAGCUAAUACAUGAUUUCAGUGCCAGGAAUGGACUCUGGAAACUUGGCAAGACUGUGGACAAAUCCUGAUAUAGUGUUACAGAUGGCAAUAAAAUUAAUGGCAUAGACCUUACAUCAACUGAUAUUUAUAUACAUUGUUCUGUUAGCUAUUCACACCCUUCUUGAAAUUCUAUCUUCUCAAAUGAACCAGCUCUCAGCUUCCUGCACUUUCUGCAAAAUAAAGACCAUUUCUUUUCAGUUGCAGACUACUGUAAUGUAGUGAUGUAAUGUGAUCAUGGCUACUCCCUGAUCUCUGAGAUGAUUUUCUCCUGCAUUUCCACAAUUGUUGCCUCUAUGUUAAUGUUCUUGUCCCCUUUCCUGAUCAGAUAACCUCAUUUCAACACAUUGUACGCUGCUGGAAAAGAAACCCUCGAUGCAUGUACAGACUAGAGGAUGAGAAGCUGAAGACCAGUCCCACAGAAAAUGGUUUGGGGGUUGAUCACAAGCUAAAUAUGAAUCAGCAGUGUGCCCUGACAGACAAAAGUACCAACCACACCCUGCAACGUAUCACGCUCAGCUUUGCUAGAUGGUCAAGUGAAGAUAUCUGCAUGUGAAAAGCUACUGCAGUUUUUCAACAGCUCUGACAGGAAGAGAACACGGAGUUGAAUCCAUCUUCCCAACCUUCUACCAAAAUUGCACUGAUAUAAUUCAAGUGUUCCCUUAUUACUGAUAAAAUGGAACGCUUCUAAAGACCUGCUGCUCAGGUGCUUUAUUCUCUUUACUAUAUGCAGUGUUUUUUUCAAAACUACUUAUGUCCUUCUAAAGGUCAAAUUUUCAGCCUUGCACACAAGAAGAUAAGCUAGUCAGCUCUGUCUAUAAAAGAAAUUGUAUAUUUCAUCCUUGAUAUGUAGUGUAAAAUACUUACUCCCCAGAGUCUAACUUUAACAUAGAACAAAGAAACAAAAUGGACAUGAAAAAUGGACAAAAGUAUUUUAGGAAAGGAUUGGUUUCCUCUAGGGCUUUCAAAACACACAAAAAAACACAACAGAUGGUAGAUAAUAGUUCAACAUACCUGUGGACCCUUUUCAAGUGUAUUGUAUACGUUAGUUCUGUGCUUGUCAAUUUCCUUGCAAAUAUUAUUGCUAUAUCUUACAUUAUCUACCAUUUCUAAUACAUUAAACAUUCCUCCGUUGCACACUUCAAGUUCUGCCUGACCAACAACAGCCUGAAGUGUUGAUGGAUAUAUUCACCAUACUCUGACUCAUGCUCCAUGAAGACAGAUGUAGGUUUCUUGCUUGAAGAAGCCUGAAAAUUAAUUUCUUUCUAUCAUUAUUUGAUCAUGAGAUAUGAAUGUCAGGCAAGAUAUUAUUUGCCCUUUCCCUCAAAGUAGACUUAAUUGUUUGUGGAUUGGAUAGAGAAGCUGUCCUCCUCUCAUGCUUGAUUGGACUGAGAUCAAUUUUCUAAGAGAAGAAAAACAAACACUAGUCAUUAAACAAAAAGGGAACUGAGACAGAUUUACUAGCUGUCUUCUUGAAAGAGCAUGAGAACUGUCCAUUCAGCGGGAUAAUCUACUUUUCUUUAUGGUUAUUAAAAAAAUGGCACUGUCCUCAGUGGUAGCAGGGCUAGUCUAUAUCUCAAGUAAAAAUCCAUGUUCAAAUGUGAUGCUGAAAGAAGCUGAUCCUCUCUCAUGUGACAUACAGACAUAAGGUUUUAUCUGUUAUCUGCAUUACCUGUUUCAUAAUUCCUGUAGCAAAGUAAUCUUGCCUAAACAUAGUGAGAAUGAAAUUACAUGUAGAUAACAAAGCAGAAGUUUUUGUUUCAGUUGCCUUUCUUAGUGUAACUCUCUACACCUGUCUACCUAAAUGACUGCAUUCUCUGGGAUGGGCAUAUUUCCCCUGCCCAAGAUUGCUCUGGGCAGUUGCAGAAACAAAGUGCACUCUUUCUCAGUGCAAAAACCAAAGCUUAGCAUAUAUUUCCUGUAAGUCUUCUUCUUUUGGCUUGAUGUUUUUCCGUAGUGUUAAAUUAAAUUGUUUACCAUGGAGCUGAGCCAAUGAGUUGGUUUUAAUCCCAGGAGGGGAAAAAAGAGAUGUGAGGUCAAUUGUCCUAUUUGUUUUCAAGAACUGGCUGAAGUUCUUCAUAAGCCCUCUGUAUUUUUCUUGGAUUUGAUUUUGUUCCCCAAAGCAAAAGCUCUCUCAUUCUCUCUCUCUCUCUCUCUCUUCUUUUUAACAAUGAUUUUUGCUUGCGCAGAUCACUCUUUUCUUUCUUUGGAGAUUGUUGAUAUUAUCCUGAAAUUUUAAACCUGCAGAUAUUCUCUAGCACUCGUUUAUGGAAACCACACAGACCAUAUUGCCCUCUUUUCUCUUCACUGAAUUGUUAUUUUUCAUGACACACUGUGGCUUUUGAAGUUAUUACCUCUUUUGUCAUGGAGAGAAGUGUUAUGGUAUAAGACAGAAAAUAUACUUAUGGAAAACCAGGCCUAUGAGAAAGAAUUGAACCAGAAGACAUACAAACUACAACUCCCAGUGGAAUAUUGUAAUGACAUAAAAAAUCCAAGUAUUUCCUUGAAAUCUUUGAAAAAAUUGCUUUCUUCUUUAUUCUACCAUGCAAAAAAAAAAAAAAUUCUUUCCAACAUACUCUGUUUUUUUAUAUGAUUCAGUGA